UGUUAAUGGGAAUAUUAGGAAGUGAUGGA
rnacentral:piRNA from 2 species